UUGCCUUAAAGCCUCAGCCGAACUGCCAACCACACCUUCGGAUGAUCCCAGCUCGAAAGAGGGACAUUCCUCGCAGCAGCAGUGUUAGACGCCGAAUUGAAGAAAAUCCUGGAGUUGAACAUAUC